CUUAUAGGCAAGCGAGCUCCAUCUUAGGCUGCAUCAUCACUUGCUAGCGAGUCUGAUUGCAGCCAAGCGCUAGUCUAUAUUAUAAUUAAAUAAAUAAAAAAGUUGUAAAACUAAUCAAAAUCGAUAUACUAGUUAGGAGUAAAUGUCAAACUGUAGUGUGCAAACAAACACACAUUUACUUUUGUAAUUUUCGUGAGUUUAUUAAGUUACUAGGGGUCACAUAAUUUGUAAACAUCUCCUUUGCAGGAAUGCACUAUAUCGAUCAUGAGCGAGUUCAUACUCCGACUCGCACUUGGCCAAUUUUCGGGUGGCUGUACCCACAACAUACAUUAUAUACACAUUUUUUUAAUAAAUCAUUCAUUUAUUCAUUAAUUCAUUCAUUAAUUCAUUCAUUCAUUAAUUAAUUCAUUCAUUAAUUAAUUCAUUAAUUAAUUCAUCCAUUCAACCUUUUUUUGAGGGCUGGAUCCGCACCUGAUUGAGUUAGAAAAUGCGUCAUCGGCAUUCGUUUUUUCUGUUUGUGAUGCAUAUUUAAGUUACUUAUUACAUUUACUUCUGCAUUUAGAUUGUUUCUAUGUUACUUUUGAAACUUUUGUGUAAAAAUGUGUCAAUCCCUGUGUACAGUACGUUGUAAAUGUACAUAUUUAACGGUAUUAAACUUUUGUUGUAUUCUCUUGUUA